UUUGGUGUGAACAGCAGUUGAACACGACUCAGUCGGUCCUAAGGAAUAGGGGAAACCCGUUCCGAACCGGGGGUUUGUUUUUGACACAAAAAAAUAGUAGAAAAACCCCGAAUCGACCGAAAGGGAAUCGGGUUAAUAUUCCCGAACCCGGAUGCGGAGAUCGACCCCUCGUGGGUCCAAUGCGGCAACGCAAACGAACUCGGAGACGUCGGCGGGAGUCCCGGGAAGAGUUGUCUUUUCUUUGUAAGGAACGGACUCCCUGGAAUCGGCUCGCCCGGAGAGAGGGACGUUGUUUCCGUAAAGCACCGCGGCUCUUGCGGUGUCCGGAGCACUCCCGCCGGCCCUUGAAAAUCCGAGGGAGAGACACAUCUUGAUUUUCGCGCCGGACCGUACCCAUAUCCGCAGCAGGUCUCCAAGGUGAACAGCCUCUAUUCGAUAGAGCA
rnacentral:rRNA from 1 species